rnacentral:lncRNA from 1 species
UAGGAAUUAAUCAUGCAAUUAAAUUUCAUAUUAUGUGCUCUCCAUCCAUUGAUGUUAGAUACUUCUGUCCUUAGAAGUAUGCAACCACUUACAUCUACUACACAUUCUCCCUAUGCUACUUCUGUUCCUAGAAGUACCACCCAUAUAUAUACACUCGAUGCAUCUUGUGCUGUUCCUAUCCUGGAGACAUGCACCUCUAUUGCUCCUGCCCUUGGAGUACACAUUCAUCCAUGCACAUAUACAUAUUCCUUGUCCACUCAGAAAAUGUUCUACUCCUACACUAGGAGAGGACACCCAAAAAUAUUCAUUUCCCUCGUAUCCUUUUCUCUAGUUAUUUUAGUUGAUACUCCCUACUACUAUUAGUGCAAUAAAAGGGUUGGUUAUGCUAAAAAAAGAGAAAAAGGAAGAAAGAAAAAUGAAAAUAUAGAGGACAAAAGACACAAAAGAAAAAAAAGUAGCUAAGUCCUUAUUUAUAGAUUAGGGAGGUAUGUUAUCCCCAAGGAGCAAAUAUAGAAUUAGAUCUCCACCAUUAUCAUUAUCGCCCCUCAUAACAAUUUCCUUAUCAUCAUUCAUAUCACUUAUUUCAUACCCCUCAUUCACAUGCACAUAUGAUUUAAUUGUAAGACUAGUUCCUCUAGAUCCAUGGUUUAACUAUACAACAUAUGUAUGCAAGUAUGUUUGAGCUGUCUCCCCACCUAUAAGCUCCACAUAAGCCUAUUAGAUGUAGGGUGAGAGAGAGAAGGCAUAAUGCUAGUAUGCCUUAAUUCCACAAAUACCACAUAUUCUGAGAGUAGAGGGAUGUAAGGUCCAAAUGACUAGAGCGGGGGGUGAAUGACCUAUUUAAAAUUCUACAAACUUUACUAAACAAGUGAGUUAGUAAAAUAAGUGGCAAAGCUAUUCUAGAUAUAGCACAACUAAGCUAUGCAAGCCACCUAUACAAGUCUAGCAAGAAGGCUAAACACUAAAACACAACAACUAGAGAAGGAUACACAACAACUCUGUACUAACAAGAACUAAGCUACACAAGCUAAACUAACAAGGUAGGCAAGUAUGUAAAGAGAGGAGAGUGAUUGUUAUACCGACGCUGUAGAGAUCAGAUAUAUCCAAUCAAUCGCGUACACAAUCACAAGAGAGACCUCGGCAAGAGAUGACACAAGAUUUUUUACUGAGGUUCACUUGCUUCUCGGUAAGCUACUCCUCGUUGUGGCAAUACACCCACUUGAUGGAUCACGAGCUAAUUGGCAAUCCAAAGCCAACUCUCAGCAGGUGCCACACAACCACUCACAAGAUGGGGAUCCUCCAAGCCAUGCGGAAUCCACUAGAGUAGCCAAUUGCGAUCUCCUGCGGGGAAGGCUCAAGAACCCCUAAAAAAUCACUUGAUGAGGCUCGAAACAAUCUCCAAUCAUGAGCUCAACCCUACCGCUGCUCCAAGCCGUUUAGGGCAUCGGGAAACACCCAAGAGUAACAAGAAAUCCGCAGCAAACGCAAGAAUCAAGUGCCACUAAAUGCAACUCUCAAAGCAAUGCACUUGAAUCUCACUCAAUCUCACUAGGAUUAGCAAUCAAGCAAGGAGAUGAGUGGAAGGAGUGUUCCCUAGCUCAAUGUAUGCCUCAAGUAAUCAAAUUUGCAAGAGUUAACCUCCCAAAGCUGGCCCCUUCUAUUUAUAAGCGCCCUCAACAAAAGACCCAUUGGCCACUUUCACUAGGCAGAAAUCGGGGGCACCGGACGCUACCAAGUGAGCACCGGACGCUCGACCCCCUUGCGUCCGGUGUUCUGGGGUUGGCCACGUGUCCUCCUUUGAAUCUUGUGCGUCAAACUCUAACGGUCACCUACGGAUCACCGGACGCGACCAAGUGAGCACCGGACGCGUCCGGUACUCACCGAUCUUGUGCGCAGAGAGUUUGUCAAACUCACGACCUCACCGGACUCGGGGCACCGGACAGUCCGGUGCUCACCGAACUUAUGCGUAGACAGGGUUGCUAAACCCCCACACACCGGACGCACACCACUGGAUGCACUUAGAGCGUCAGGUGCUCUCAGUCAGACACCCUCUGGCUGAGUUAGGUCACACCGGACACAUGAACAGGGAACACCCUGUGUCCGGUGCAGUGCGUCCGGUGCUCAACCCUAACAAGGCCAAGAACUGACAGCACACCAGACGCUCAGGACAGCGUUCGGUGCCUCUGCGCACUACGUCCGGUGAAACACUCCCGCGACUUCUCCAAAAUUUCCCAUCGGAGCAAUAGAAAAUAUACACAUAAUUUUCUCAAAAGCGCCGAAUCCCGCCUUCGAAGCUCGGCGGGAGGGAGAGAGGAUCCCAAACCCCUCUCAACCCUAUGAACUCCACCUCCUUUGCAAAUGUGCUAACACCAACAAGUUUCCAACACCAAGGUGCAUGUGUGUUAGCCUUUCACAAAAAUUUUACCAAAGGAGUUAGGUUGGCACUUUACUAGAUCCUAAUGCAUAUGCUCAAGAUAUGGACCUAGUAGCACUUGAUUCGAGAGAUGACCGUGAUUUCCCCUCUUGAUAGUCGGCUAUUCUAUCCUAAACCUGGUGAAUCACUUCUCUACUCAUCUUAGACCGGCAAAAGUAAAACCCUAUGUUUAUACCUUUGCCUUGAAAACUUUGCUCCUUGUCUAUCACUAUGAUCUUCACUUCAAGCUUUAUUACUUUGUGAUCAUUUGGUCACCUUUCCAUGCCACCAUGCACCUUCAUCACAUGUAUUGCUAUGCCUAACUCAAAUCACUUAAACAUAAGGCAUUAGCAACUUGGUGUCAUUAAUUACCAAAACCAAACUUGGGAUUUCAAGGGAAGGCAUACAUCAUUCAUGCCUUGGUAAGGAUCUAGAAAUACCACAAAUGAGAGACUUGAAAGGGUCAUACAAGGAAACUCUGUGUUUUAAUUGAAAAUCUCGCAAAAACUCUGGAAUAAUAGUUGAUCAAAGAGCGAGAAACAUAGUGCACGACUUAACCGUUCUAUAUUACAACUGAUCAAGACCUAAUAGAAGGCUAUAAGCCCUAUAGUUUGAACGUAUGUGUACUUUUGAGGCAUGAAAGCAUUGAAGCAACUCCGGAUCUAUUGUUGAGGUUAGCUUUGCUUAGGGACUAGCAAAGAGUAAGCUUGGGGGAACUUGUUGAUGAUCACUAAUGCUUAUUUUUAUCCAUCAACUAUUGAUUGAUAUGUCAUGAUAUGAACCACAAGGCAUAGCUAUAGGGUUUGAAACUAACAAGUUCCACGAGUUAUUGUGAAUCUACAUUUUAUAGGGGUUAAACUAGAAAAGUACCAGAAUCACCAAAUAAAAGUAUCUCAAGUGAUGAAUUAGAGUACACCAUUAUGAAGAGCUUUUCGAGACAUAUGAAAUAGAGCUUUGAUUCACCGAAAUCAGAGUCCACAUGACAAUGUUAUGCCUUCUCGAAUAUUGCAAAUGGGCUUCUAGAGUAGUACAAAGUAAAUUGAGCAUAUCUCCCUCAUCUGGACUCCGUUUUUAGUGAUCUAGGACUUUUUGGAAAGCUAACAAAAAGAUCUAUCAACCUUGAAAAGUGGGGCCUACCUGGCAGGUGGCCACAGGCAGGCACCCAUAAUGUAGGGGCGGCCGCCCGGUCAACUCCACCAAUCAUGUUCAACCUCACGGAUCUGUGCUCCACUGCUUUUGAGGAGUAAUCUUGGCCAUCUAUCGAGGUCAGUUUGAUCCAAGGGCUAUGGUGCCUCCUAUAGGGCUAUAAAUAAAAGGCUAACCCCCUAUGGGAGAGAACAAUCUUUAUGAGUUGUAGAGGCAUCCCUCGAAUGGAUGAUCUCUCUUGUUUAGAGAAUCAGGGCUAGACAUUCCAAUGUAGUAGAUUAGUUAUAGUAGGAAGUUAGAGAGAGCAAAGCUAU